CACUGAUUGGCACAAGUAAAGCCUGGUAGCCUCCCAGAGUUACAGUAUAACACACUGGGGGAAAGCAUGAAGACGAGUCAAAAGUCUGACAAAAACUUGAAAUGACCACCAGAGGAGAAGCUUCUGCAUCUAAAGAGGAGGAACAGAGAAACUGAAUCCAGAUCAGUGAGGAACCAACAAGACAUCCAACGAUCAGGAGCAGAACCAGCAGCUCCCAGUCUCCCAGUGACCCCCUGGCAGACAAAAACUCACUCUUCCUGCAGUAAAGACACAGGAGGUGAUGGAACAUCAUGCAGAGAGGGCACAGUUGAUUCUACUGAAUACACCACCCACCAAACCCAAGAGAACCAAAAACACCACGGGGAGUUGGAGAUUGCAGGAUAAAGUAUUUCUUUCAACAAGAUGUGGAUUUCCAAACUUUGCGUUCUAAGCUUCAAGGAAAGCUAAGACCAGUGGCUAGAUCCCUAUUUUCAAAGGCAUCCACGCAGGAGGGAAGACUGUGAAUAA